rnacentral:rRNA from 1 species
GGAAUAGGACCCUGUCCUCCUAUUUUCAGUUGGUUUGCCGCGAGGACCAGGGUAAUGAUUAAUAGGGAUAGUUGGGGGCAUUAAUAUUUAAUUGUCAGAGGUGAAAUUCUUGGAUUUAUGAAAGAUUAACUUCUGCGAAAGCAUCUGCCAAGGAUGUUUUCAUUAAUCAAGAACGAAAGUUAGGGGAUCGAAGACGAUCAGAUACCGUCGUAGUCUUAACCAUAAACGAUGCCGACCAGCGAUUAGGAGACGUUGAAUACAAAACACCACCAUGCGCAUUGCGGUCGUCUUUGGUGUCGCUCACAAGGCGGCACCGGGGCGGCUUAGCUCGCAUGGCACCGGUGAAUG